UCAGGAAAGGGGCCCCACACGACAGGAAGGGGACCCCUCACAACCAGCAGGGGAGCCAGAAGUUGAGAUCAUCACUGAGUCCCUGUCAUAUGAGACUCUUUGUAACCUGUGAAAAGACAUUGUACUAUGGGGCCGUGAGCCUUUUACAACCUGGUUACUGCAGGUCUGGGACCUUAUGGGUACAGGUGUGCAACUGGAUGGUACUGAGGCAAGGAAUUUGGGAGCCUUGACCCAGGACUCAGGUGUGGACCAGGUAUUUGUAAGGGAGACAGGUCUCCUUUCCCUCUGGGAGCGACUUUUAAUGAGUGUGAGAGAGAGAUUUGUCCACAGGGAAAGAAUGCAGGAGCACCACCAGAGAACGUGUUGGA